GUCCAGUUUUCCCAGGAGACU
rnacentral:miRNA from 1 species